UGGAGGCUGAUCUCUCAGCGCAACACGGAGGCUGAUCUCUCAUGAUCUCUCACCACGACACGAGCUUUCUGCCUUCAGAUCCUUCUCUACCGACCGUUUGCUGACGGACUUCCCUGGGCCUGCUACCUGAGACCUGCUGCUUCCUCCCUGACCUGCACCCUCUCGUUGCCCAAGACCGGCCUCACUGCUCCUGCCUUUCGGCCUCGGACCAUCGGAACGUCGUGCAACGGGACUGCUGCUGGAUCCUGGUGUUUACGGGAUUUUAAAAGAAAAUGGAAAAAUUCUUGGAAGACAAAUCCAUCAAGGACUGCUUAUUCCAAAGCCACCAUCUUUGCAUCAAGAAGGAUGCUCACCUGGAGAGUUUCAAGUUUCUUUCUUUCAAUGUUCUGAGAAUUUAUAGUUUUAGAUUCUUUCAGUGCACAGAGAGAAAAGCUGUCCCAUGAACUAUCACAACAGAAGGACAGAAGAUGAAUCGUGUUUAAAUAUCACAGAAUCACAGAAUUGCAGUGGUUGGAAGAAACCUCCAGAGAUCAACAAGUCCAAAAAAAACUGCAGAGAUACAAAGCUGCACAGGUGCAAGACCCUGCACUUGCUUUUGUUAAACCUCAUCUCAUUUUCUGCUGCCCAGCUCUCCAGUCUGUCCAGAUCUUGCUGAAUGGCAACACAGCCUUCAGGUGUGUCAGCCACUCCUCCCAGCUUUGUAUCAUCGGCAUACUAACUAGGGGUGGACACUCUCCCAUCAUCAAGGUCAUCGAUGAAGAUACUGAACGAGACCGGACCCAGCACUGACCCCUGGGGAACACUGCUAGUCACAGGUCUCCAACCAGACUGUACCACUGAUCACAAUCCUCUGAACUUAGCCAGUCAGCCCGUUCUCAACCCACCUCACUGUCCACUCAUCUAUACCACACUUUCUCAGCUUCAUUAUCAGAAUGUCAUGGGACACAGUAUCAAAAGCCCUUCUGAAGUCAAGGUAGAUGGCAUCCACUGCUCUCCCCACAUCUACCCAGCUGGUGAUGCCAUUGUAGAGGGCUACAAUGUUGUUCAAGCAUGAUUUUCCCUUAGUGAAUCCAUGCUGACUAUUCCUGAUAACCUUCUUCUUUACCAAUUGCUUGGAGAUGGCACUUUUCCAGGGACAGAGAUGAGGCUGACUGGCCCAUAGUUUCCCGGAUCCUCCUUCUUUCCCAUUUUGAAGACCUUGACAUUGGCUAUUCGAGUCUCCACACACCUCUCCUGUUCUCCAAGACCUGUCAAAGAUGACAGAAAGCAGUUUGGCAAUAUCCUCUGCCAGCUACCUCAGCACACAUGGAUGCAUGCCAUCAGGGCCCAUGUAUUUGUGCACAGUGAUCCCACUUAGAUGCUCCUGGACCACCCCCUCCUUGGUGUAUAUCUCUUUUCAGAAAAGCACUGAUAAAAAGAUUUGCAUGAGCAUGAAGAAAUUAUAACAUUUUUCCAUGGGCUAGGAAUCCACCUUUCAAAACCAUUAUUAUUCUUGGAAGAUUCAUUAUAUCAUGCGCUGAAAAUGUUUCACAGUUUAGUAUUGGCAACUCUGAGAGACUUAUACUAACCAAUGUUGAUGAAAUGUUCUUAAAAUUAUUCAGAGAAGAAUUAGAUCUCAAAUUUAUUUUCCUUUUGUUCUAAGUGUAAAUAUAUUUUUUAUUGUUUUCCAGUUGUUUCCUAUCUUUACAUAAAUAUUGUAAAAGACAUUUUUACUUGUUGCUAUAAGGGGCUUCGUUUUCUUCUCUCAAAUUUCCUAACGUUCUGAAGAAAAGAAAACAGAAAAGAGAGUGCUCCUGGCACUUCUAAUUAUAGGAUAAUUCGAAUGUCAUUGAAGGGAAAGGGAAUGUCCAAAUAGUGAUGACAGAACAAGAAAGGUAGACAACUGACCUUGAUUACAACCUAGAAUUGUCACUCAACAUUACAGAAAUCUUUAGGAACUGUUGUUUCAUAAAUUAUUUCUGACAUUUACAAUAAAUAUUGAAUUAGAUCUCCUGAGGUGUUUGUAAAGCAAAAAGAAAAUGUCUUUGAAGUAACAAGACAAAAUCGUACUUAUUGUGGUUCUAAUAAACCCUCAAGUAGCAUUAAUAUGAUUGUUUACAUCUGCACCAAAUUCACAUAGGUUCAUGUAUUUAUAUAGAUUUCUAUUCUCUUCCUUGUGAUUUUCCUUGCUAUUUGGAAGAGUGUUAAUACACUGAUUUGUAGAUUUUGAGCCUUUAUGUUCUUCUCUUUAGUCUUACCUAUACUCAGAUGUUUACAGCAUCUCUCAUGUUAUUGAUUUAAUUAUAUUUUUAAUAUCUGCCAAAAAAAUUAGUCAAAAAUAGUAAUAUUGUACUAUGUAUCUUCAGAAAUAAUUUUAUAAUUAGCAUAUUGCUACCAUCUUGGUCUGAAUUACUAUAAAACAUGUUGUUUUGAUGUUGCUCCAUCUAGAAAAAUAAAUUU
ensembl:lncRNA